rnacentral:rRNA from 1 species
GAUGAACGCUGGCGGCGUGCUUAACACAUGCAAGUCGAACGGUGAAGCAGGAGCUUGCUCUUGUGGAUCAGUGGCGAACGGGUGAGUAACACGUGAGCAACCUGCCCCUGACUCUGGGAUAAGCGCUGGAAACGGCGUCUAAUACUGAAUAUGUGAUGAGACCGCAUGGUCUGCAUCUGGAAAGAAUUUCGGUUGGGGAUGGGCUCGCGGCCUAUCAGCUUGUUGGUGAGGUAAUGGUUCACCAAGGCGUCGACGGGUAGCCGGCCUGAGAGGGUGGACGGCGACACGGGGACUGAGGCACGGCCCAGAGUCGUACGGGAGGCAGCAGUGGGGAAUAUGGCACAAUGGGCGGAAGCCUGAUGCAGCAACGCCGCGGGAGGUAUGACGGCCUUCGGGUUGUAAACCUCUUUUAGCAGGGAAGAAGCGAAAGUGACGGUACCUGCAGAAAAAGCACCGGCUAACUACGUGCCAGCCGCCGCCGUAA